UACGUAGGGCGCAAGCGUUGUCCGGAUUUAUUGGGCGUAAAGAGCGUGUAGGCGGCUAUACAGGUCCGCUGUGAAAACUCGAGGCUCAACCUCGAGACGUCGGUGGAAACCGUAUGGCUAGAGUCCGGAAGAGGAGAGUGGAAUUCCUGGUGUAGCGGUGAAAUGCGCAGAUAUCAGGAAGAACACCCGUGGCGAAGGCGGCUCUCUGGGACGGUACUGACGCUGAGACGCGAAAGCGUGGGGAGCGAACAGG
rnacentral:rRNA from 1 species